AAUAGCGAGGAAAAGAAACCAACUGGGAUUGCCCUAGUAACGGCGAGUGAAGCGGCAACAGCUCAAAUUUGAAAUCUGCCCCCUGGGCCGAGUUGUACUUUGCAGAGGAUGCUUUCGGCGCAGUGCCCCUUAAGUCCCCUGGAACGGGGCGCCAAAGAGGGUGAGAGCCCCGUAUAGUGGGACGCUAAGUCAUUGUAAAGCUCCUUCGACGAGUCGAGUAGUUUGGGAAUGCUGCUCUAAAUGGGAGGUAAAUUCCUUCUAAAGCUAAAUAUUGGCCAGAGCCCGAUAGCGCACAAGUAGAGUGAUCGAAAGAUGAAAAGCACUUUGAAAAGAGAGUUAAAUAGCACGUGAAAUUGUUGAAAGGGAAGCGCCUAUAACCAGACUUGCGCCAGGUUGAUCUCCCGCCGUUCUCGGCGGUGUACUCGGCCUGGUACAGGCCAGUAUCGGUUUUUGCAGGGGGAUAAAAGGCUCUGGAACGUAGCUCCCUGUGAGUGUUAUAACCAAGGCCAUAAUAUCUUUGCAGAAACCGAGGCCCGCGCUCCGCGAGGAUGCUGGCGUAAUGGUUAUUAGCGACCCGUCUUGAAACACGGACCAAGGAGUCAAGGUUUUGCGCAAGUGUUUGGGUGCUAAACCCGCACGCGUAAUGAAAGUGAAUGUAGGUGAGAGCCUCGGCGCAUCACCGACCGAUCCUGAUGUAUACGGACGGAUUUGAGUAAUAGCGUAGUGCCUUGGACCCGAAAGAUGGUGAACUAUGCUUGGAUAGGGUGAAGCCAGAGGAAACUCUGGUGGAGGCUCGCAGCGGUUCUGACGUGCAAAUCGAUCGUCAAAUCUGGGCAUGGGGGCGAAAGACUAAUCGAACCAUCUAUA
rnacentral:rRNA from 1 species